GGCCUCGUGGCCCGGUGGCAGGGCGUCUGACUACGAGAGAGAGCCGCACCCCGACGUUCACAAUCGGUAGCAAAUCUUGCGCGGCAAUCAGGAGAUUCCGGGUUCGAUCCCCAGCGAGGUCA
rnacentral:tRNA from 1 species